rnacentral:rRNA from 1 species
GACGUAGGGCGCGAGCGUUGUCCGGAUUUAUUGGGCGUAAAGAGCUCGUAGGCGGCUUGUCGCGUCGACUGUGAAAACCCGCGGCUCAACCUCGGGUCUGCAGUCGAUACGAGCAAACUAGAGUGUUGCAGGGGAGACUGGAAUUCCUGGUGUAGCGGUGAAAUGCGCAGAUAUCAGGAGGAACACCGGUGGCGAAGGCGGGUCUCUGGGACGGUACUGACGCUGAGACGCGAAAGCGUGGGGAGCGAACAGG